rnacentral:tRNA from 1 species
GCCUUCGUAGUGUAAUGGUCAGCACGCUCGACGCGUAUUCGAGAGGCCCGCGGUUCGAGUCCUGGCUACGGCG